AGGAGCAAACCGCCUCAAAAAAUUAAAUGCAAGGAAUUUGAUUCAGAAAAAAUGCCAACUUCCAACUGUAUAAAAAAUAAAACUUUAUCAACUAUUCGAUGGACUAAAUUAUAUCAUUUACUUCUAAACUAUCUUAAAAAAAUUUGGCUAAUAAUCCUUUAUGGCAACAAAAUCCUAUAACAUCUUUAACAGAAAAAUAAACUUCUUGAACGCUGUCCUUAAUCUAUGGCAGAUGAUGCACCACAGCAGUUCAAUCUCUGAAACUACCAAUUGAUGUCGAUCCUCCAUCAAAAAGACCAGACUCUAUAUAGAAACUAAGGCCAGC
rnacentral:lncRNA from 1 species